CGGCCAAUAUCCAACAGGCACAGUCAGUUACUUCAGCGGCGAUUUAGAGCACGGAAGGGACGACUUCAAAGAGGCUCACUAUGUGAGAGAAUACCUUCCCUACCCUGCUCCCUCACAGCCAAUCAACACUCCCAAGGUUGACGCUCCUGCAAAUGGUGGUUCUAGACGUGGUGGUGCAGCUGUCCAACCCAUUUAUUCAAGUCGAACCGCCAGGCAACCAAUUCUCCAUGCAGGUGGUUAUGGGAGCAGUUCUAACGCAGCCAAGCAUGACUAAGAGGUGGAUCCCUCCAGCAGGAUGUUUCAGAAUUCAAUAAAAGACCUUUUUCAAAUA